AGAGUUUGAUCCUGGCUCAGAUUGAACGCUGGCGGAAUGCUUUACACAUGCAAGUCGAGCGGCAGCGCGGGGCAACCUGGCGGCGAGCGGCGAACGGGUGAGUAAUGUAUCGGAACGUACCCAGUCGUGGGGGAUAACACAGCGAAAGCUGUGCUAAUACCGCAUACGUCCUGAGGGAGAAAGCGGGGGACUCGUAAGGGCCUCGCGCGAUUGGAGCGGCCGAUAUCGGAUUAGCUAGUUGGUGAGGUAAAGGCUCACCAAGGCGACGAUCCGUAGCUGGUCUGAGAGGACGACCAGCCACACUGGAACUGAGACACGGUCCAGACUCCUACGGGAGGCAGCAGUGGGGAAUUUUGGACAAUGGGGGAAACCCUGAUCCAGCCAUUCCGCGUGAGUGAAGAAGGCCUUCGGGUUGUAAAGCUCUUUCAGCAGGAACGAAACGGUAAGCUUUAAUAAAGUUUGCUAAUGACGGUACCUGAAGAAGAAGCACCGGCUAACUACGUGCCAGCAGCCGCGGUAAUACGUAGGGUGCGAGCGUUAAUCGGAAUUACUGGGCGUAAAGCGUGCGCAGGCGGUUUUGUAAGACAGAUGUGAAAUCCCCGGGCUUAACCUGGGAACUGCGUUUGUGACUGCAAGACUAGAGUGUGGCAGAGGGGGGUAGAAUUCCACGUGUAGCAGUGAAAUGCGUAGAGAUGUGGAGGAAUACCGAUGGCGAAGGCAGCCCCCUGGGUCAACACUGACGCUCAUGCACGAAAGCGUGGGGAGCAAACAGGAUUAGAUACCCUGGUAGUCCACGCCCU
rnacentral:rRNA from 1 species